GAUGAACGCUGGCGGCGUGCCUAAUACAUGCAAGUCGAGCGAACGGACGAGAAGCUUGCUUCUCUGAUGUUAGCGGCGGACGGGUGAGUAACACGUGGAUAACCUACCUAUAAGACUGGGAUAACUUCGGGAAACCGGAGCUAAUACCGGAUGAUAUUUUGAACCGCAUGGUUCAAAAGUGAAAGACGGUCUUGCUGUCACUUAUAGAUGGAUCCGCGCUGCAUUAGCUAGUUGGUAAGGUAACGGCUUACCAAGGCAACGAUGCAUAGCCGACCUGAGAGGGUGAUCGGCCACACUGGAACUGAGACACGGUCCAGACUCCUACGGGAGGCAGCAGUAGGGAAUCUUCCGCAAUGGGCGAAAGCCUGACGGAGCAACGCCGCGUGAGUGAUGAAGGUCUUCGGAUCGUAAAACUCUGUUAUUAGGGGAGAACAUAUGUGUAAGUAACUGUGCACAUCUUGACGGUGCCUAAUCAGAAAGCCACGGCUAACUACGUG
rnacentral:rRNA from 1 species